rnacentral:rRNA from 1 species
UACGUAGGUGGCGAGCGUUGUCCGGAUUUAUUGGGCGUAAAGCGCGCGCAGGUGGUGCGGUAAGUCUGCCGUGAAAUCUCCCGGCUCAACUGGGAGGGUGCGGUGGAGACUGCCGGACUGGAGGCACUCAGAGGCCGGUGGAAUUCCCGGUGUAGUGGUGAAAUGCGUAGAGAUCGGGAGGAACACCAGUGGCGAAGGCGGCCGGCUGGGGGUGACCUGACGCUGAGGCGCGAAAGCGUGGGGAGCGAACCGG